rnacentral:rRNA from 1 species
GAUGAACGCUGGCGGCGUGCCUAAUACAUGCAAGUAGAACGCUGAAGGAAGGAGCUUGCUCUUUCCGGAUGAGUUGCGAACGGGUGAGUAACGCGUAGGUAACCUGCCUGGUAGCGGGGGAUAACUAUUGGAAACGAUAGCUAAUACCGCAUAACAGUAGAUGUUGCAUGAUAUCUACUUAAAAGGUGCAAUUGCACCACUACCAGAGGGACCUGCGUUGUAUUAGCUAGUUGGGGAGGUAAAGGGCCACCAAGGCGACGAUACAUAGCCGACCUGAGAGGGUGGUCAGCCACACUGGGACUGAGACCCGGCCCAGACUCCUACGGGAGGCAGCAGUAGGGCAUCUUCGGCAAUGGACGGAAGUCUGACCGAGCAACGCCGCGUGAGUGAAGAAGGUUUUCGGAUCGUAAAGCUCUGUUGUAAGAGAAGAACGCGUGUGAGAGUGGAAAGUUCACACUGUGACGGUAUCUUACCAGAAAGGGACGGCUAACUACGUG